rnacentral:piRNA from 1 species
UAUAGUCAUCUAUAGUCCUAAUGC